rnacentral:lncRNA from 1 species
CAAAAUGUGUCAAUAAAUGAUUACGACUGCCGUGAUAAGCUGAAGGGGCUUGCUAAAUAGCAACUAUCUUCCUGGAAAAUUUCCUUUACCUCAUACAGAUGAAUCAUUGACUUCCAGAAAAUAGUACACUCACUGUAGGCUCUGCUCAGGCCAAGUAAUUAAAUUCAGUUAGCCAAGAAGGGUGAGAUUUCAUAGUAACGUGACAGGAGAGAGAAUAAAAGUCUAAAAGGACACUGAAGAUGCCCUAAACACCAUAUCCAAUGGCUUUUCACAGUCUUCAUCCUUCUAAACUUCCCAGCACCACUUGACAGGAAUAACUUUCCCUUUGGUGUUUUCUUCUUGUUGCCUUCUGUGAAGGGCUGUUGGAUCCUCCUGUUACUGCUCAGACCUGUCUCUUCAGAGAAGCAGUGUAGGAUCAACCGAAGAGCCAAGAUGCAGCCUCGCGGAUGUGGGCCUUGGUCUUCCCACUGCCUGUCCUCACAGCCUUGGACACCUCAGAACUCUGUGAAUACGUGA